CAGUAGCCACGGGAAUACGAGGGGAGCUAGCGUUGUUCGGAAUUACUGGGCGUAAAGCGCGCGUAGGCGGCUUUUUAAGUCAGAGGUGAAGGCCCGGGGCUCAACCCCGGAAUUGCCUUUGAAACUGGAAAGCUAGAAUCUUGGAGAGGUCAGUGGAAUUCCGAGUGUAGAGGUGAAAUUCGUAGAUAUUCGGAAGAACACCAGUGGCGAAGGCGACUGACUGGACAAGUAUUGACGCUGAGGUGCGAAAGCGUGGGGAGCAAACAGGAUUAGAUACCCCGGUAGUCCCUGUCUCUUAUAA
rnacentral:rRNA from 1 species